AAAACAAGACAGCAAACUAACUUUCCAGAAUCAGAGCAAAAGCAGUGAUAUUUAUUCUUCUCACAUCAAUGCAAAACGUUUUCCUUUUUUCAUGGCAAAUCCGGAUUAUAUUUACAAAUGUGUAUCAAUCCUUCUCUGUAAUAUAUUCACAAUGUACAAGGAAAAAUACAACAAACAAAUAAGGAAUAGAUCGAAUACAGUAACUCACGUGUUGACAAAUCAAAGUGGGAUCGAGAAAAAUCCUAGAAAACUUUAAAAACGUUGUAAUUUGAAUAUAUUUUACACUGUAACACUCACUCUUUUUCAUGUCUUAAACACAGAACCAUCUCAAUCGCUGUCUCUCUCUCUCUCUCUCUCUCUCUCUCUCUCUACACACACACACACACACACAUACAAAAGAAGAAUUAAUCCCUCUCAAAUAUGUAAAACUCACGCAUAUUGUGUAAUUUCAGACAAAUUAUUCAGACAACAUCCCAAGGACACCCUUCAGUUUAAGUAUCAUAUUUAAAUAGUAUCACCUUCAAAUUUACAAGAACAGACAUUCUGUACAAAAAAAGGUAGUUAUGCUCUAAAAGAGGUAAAUAUUUGGUUAUUUGAGUCUGAAUGAGUAGUUGCGAAUCUUUUCAUAUGUGUGUCAGAGGAACGGUUCCGUUUACGCUCGUCGCGGAACUUUGAUAGUGCUGCGGUACAGCGUGAAGUCUGCUCUGAACGGACGGGUCCCCUGCCUCCGCCGCCGGUAAAUACAUGCUUAUCAUCUCUCGCAAGUCUCCGGGACAAGGGGCUCGAGAGUGAACUGUAACGGGAGGACUUACGCUCGGCUCCGAUUUCACCAGCGAGCCCAACGUGCCGAUGGCCCCAGAGGAAGCCACGCUGGAGUUUUGGUGUUGCGCGUAGGAUAUUCCAGCAUAACCUGACGGCGAGGCGCUCAUGUAGCUCUGAGAGUUUGAGAUGGGGCUGUACUGGAGAGCCGUCAUUUCGUAGCGGUGCAUAGGCUGGGGGUUAUGCGGAUGGUGAUGGUGUCCGUGGUGGUGAUGCGCUCCGCUGCCCGGGUGCUGACUGUAGGCGAGCUGCGCCUCCUGCAUCAUUGCGGCUGCAGCCGCGGCGGCCGCUACCUGCCCCGAGUACGCCCCGUUGGUCCAGCCGUUCAUGUGCGCGUAGCUCGCCGCGGUGUUGCCGCCGUGACCCACAGGACUGUCUAACCUCUGCCCGACCCCCGCUGCACCCAUACCCAUUCCCAGCCCCAUGCCGCCUCCGCCACCUGAUCCAGCGAGCAGGCCACCCGCCAAAGAGUACUUGUCCUUCUUGAGCAGCGUCUUGGUCUUCCUCCUGGGUCGGUACUUGUAAUCCGGGUGCUCCUUCAUGUGCAUGGCACGCAGUCUUUUCGCCUCAUCAAUGAAGGGUCGCUUUUCCGGCUCGGACAUGACCUUCCACUCCGCUCCGAGGCGCUUGCUGAUCUCUGAGUUGUGCAUCUUUGGAUUCUCCUGAGCCAUUUUUCUGCGCUGACCCCGAGACCACACCAUGAACGCAUUCAUAGGUCUCUUGACACGGUCUUGGUUAACUUUACUGCCGCCGUUGGGUCCCGUGUGGCCCGUGUUUGUGUUAGUCUGGGGUCCCGGGGAAUGCAAGUCCGUUUCCAUCAUCAUGCUAUACAUUCACCUGGCUUUAACUUACUCAGCUCACACACAGAAACAUUCACACGUCCCCGUUCCUGGCAGGCACACAGGUGUAGGACCUCUUAAUAACAAAAGAGGCCAGUCGAACAGGAGAGAUCGGUACAAUCCAGAGAGAGGAUAGAAGAUUUGAACUGCUGGAUCCAACCGUGGUUACACAGGAUUUGAACCGGAGCUCCUCACCUCUCAAGUACACCUCCGUACUCCUUGAGCUACCGAACAAACCUACUGCCUAUGAAAACC
ensembl:lncRNA